AAAAUAGCGCAGUUGGUAGCGCAACGCAUUCGUAAUGCGUGGGUCGGGGGUUCGAGUCCCCCUUUUG
rnacentral:tRNA from 1 species